CCUACGAGAGGCUGCAGUGGGGAAUAUUGGACAAUGGGGGCAACCCUGAUCCAGCCAUGCCGCGUGUGUGAAGAAGGCCCUCGGGUUGUAAAGCACUUUCAGUGAGGAAGAACGCCUGGUGGUUAAUACCCAUCAGGAAAGACAUCACUCACAGAAGAAGCACCGGCUAACUCCGUGCCAGCAGCCGCGGUAAUACGGAGGGUGCGAGCGUUAAUCGGAAUUACUGGGCGUAAAGCGCGCGUAGGUGGCUUGAUAAGCCGGUUGUGAAAGCCCCGGGCUCAACCUGGGAACGGCAUCCGGAACUGUCAAGCUAGAGUGCAGGAGAGGGAGGUAGAAUUCCCGGUGUAGCGGUGAAAUGCGUAGAGAUCGGGAGGAAUACCAGUGGCGAAGGCGGCCUUCUGGACUGACACUGACACUGAGGUGCGAAAGCGUGGGUAGCAAACAGGAUUAGAUACCCCAGUAGUC
rnacentral:rRNA from 1 species